AUGCUCACUGUGGCAGCACAUAUACUAAAAUUGAAACAAUACAGAAAUUAGCAUGGCCCCUACACAAGGAUGACACACAGUGCAAUACCUAUCAAAAUACAAGU
rfam:Canis lupus familiaris chromosome 5, whole genome shotgun sequence.